GGGGGUGUAGCUCAUAUGGUAGAGCGCUUGCUUUGCAUGCGAGAGGCACGGGGUUCGAUUCCGCAGGUCCCA
rfam:Triticum urartu cultivar G1812 contig41810, whole genome shotgun sequence.